rnacentral:rRNA from 1 species
AACGAACGCUGGCGGCAGGCUUAACACAUGCAAGUCGAGCGCCCCGCAAGGGGCGCGGCAGACGGGUGAGUAACGCGUGGGGACGGACCCAUAUCUUCGGGAUAGCUCCGGGACACUGGAAUUAAACCGAAUGUGCCCUUUGGGGGAAAGAUUUAUCGGAUAAGGAUCGGCCCGCGUUGGAUUAGCUAGUUGGUGGGGUAAAGGCCUACCAAGGCGACGAUCCAUAGCUGGUCAGUGAGGAUGAUCAGCCACAUUGGGACUGAGACACGGCCCGAACUCCUACGGGAAGCAGCAGUGGGGAAUAUUGGACGCUGGGCGCAAGCCUGAUCCAGCCAUGCCGCGUGAGUGAUGAAGGCGUUAGGGUUGUAAAGCUCUCUCACCGGAGAAGAUAAUGACGGUAUCCGGAGAAGAAGCCCCGGCUAACUUCGUG